CGGGUCUUUAGCCUGAGAUUUGUUUACUUCCGGGCAUAUGUCCUAACUUCGUGCGAGUAUGUACGGCAAAAUUAUUGAAAGCUUUAAAUGGGAAUAAAAUCACCAGGUUUGUGAUACGCAAGGUACUUUACAGAGGUC